CAGAGCCGAAAGGUAUACCUCAGUGCUGCCCGCCACCUGCAAGAGCCGGCAAGUAGUGGGACAGUUCUCUGAGGAGCCCUCACCUACUCUUGGAAGGAGACCAGUAACAGCCCUAAGUCGUGUGAUGAGAUUAAUGUUGGGCCAGUCCAAGUCCCUAGGACAACUUUAAAAAAUGGCCCAUUUAUCUUGUCUGAGGCUUACUAAUUUCUGUUGCCUUUAAGACUUCGGGAAUUGAGGGCGCCUGGGUGACUCAGUGGGUUA